AUGAAGUUUCAAUCAUAUAUCAUCUCUGUAAUAUCAACUUCAAAGUUUACAGGCGCAAAGAAAGCUCAGCUCAAGGAAAAAAACAAGAAACAGAACAGGUGGAGGACAAACCUUGCGGGCAGCAAGUUUGUAUUUCUUUGUCUCCAAGUUGGCCAAUCCUGCAGCUGCUCGCAACUUGGCAACAAUGACAGCAUCCAACGUGUCUGGGGUUUGCUCUGCUUUGCUGACAUAGUUGGUAACAUGUGCAAACUGUCCCAACUCAAUGCUAACCAGAAUCACAUGCAUACACAUUUGAACUAUAUGCUUGGAAGUGGUGCAAUAGUCCCGUGUCCGGAUAUAGCUUUUGAAGGCUUCCGAAAGGUGACCAUGAGCAUAGAAGAAGUCACCAAUGUCGUUAUAACCCAUUCUGAUGCUCUCUUUGAUCAGGUUAGUCUGCAUUUAAAGAAGCAACAUAAAUGCAGAGUCACUUGUUUGAUACAUAUAUGA
rnacentral:rRNA from 1 species